GCCUCCUUAGCGCAGUAGGCAGCGCGUCAGUCUCAUAAUCUGAAGGUCCUGAGUUCGAACCUCAGAGGGGGCAACA
rnacentral:tRNA from 1 species